GCCUGAUGCAGCAACGCCGCGUGAGCGAUGAAGGCCUUCGGGUCGUAAAGCUCUGUCCUCAAGGAAGAUAAUGACGGUACUUGAGGAGGAAGCCCCGGCUAACUACGUGCCAGCAGCCGCGGUAAUACGUAGGGGGCUAGCGUUAUCCGGAAUUACUGGGCGUAAAGGGUGCGUAGGCGGUCUUUCAAGCCAGAAGUGAAAGGCUACGGCUCAACCGUAGUAGGCUUUUGGAACUGUAAGACUUGAGUGCAGGAGAGGAGAGUGGAAUUCCUAGUGUAGCGGUGAAAUGCGUAGAUAUUAGGAGGAACACCAGUAGCGAAGGCGGCUCUCUGGACUGUAACUGACGCUGAGGCACGAAAGCGUGGGGAGCAAACAGGAUUAGAUACCCUGGUAGUCCACGCCGUAAACGAUGAGUACUAGGUGUCGGGGGUUACCCCCCUCGGUGCCGCAGCUAACGCAUUAAGUACUCCGCCUGGGAAGUACGCUCGCAAGAGUG
rnacentral:rRNA from 1 species